GCGCAAGCCUGAUCCAGCCAUGCCGCGUGGGUGAAGAAGGCCUUCGGGUUGUAAAGCCCUUUUGUUGGGAAAGAAAGGCAGUCGAUUAAUACUCGGUUGUUCUGACGGUACCCAAAGAAUAAGCACCGGCUAACUUCGUGCCAGCAGCCGCGGUAAUACGA
rnacentral:rRNA from 1 species